rnacentral:rRNA from 1 species
GACGAACGCUGGCGGCGUGCUUAACACAUGCAAGUCGAACGGAAAGGCCCUGCUUUUGUGGGGUGCUCGAGUGGCGAACGGGUGAGUAACACGUGAGUAACCUGCCCUUGACUUUGGGAUAACUUCAGGAAACUGGGGCUAAUACCGGAUAGGAGCGCCUGCUGCAUGGUGGGGGUUGGAAAGUUUCGGCGGUUGGGGAUGGACUGGGGGCUUAUCAGCUUGUUGGUGGGGUAGUGGCUUACCAAGGCUUUGAUGGGUAGGCGGCCUGAGAGGGUGACCGGGCACCUUGGGCCUACGGUACGGCCCAGACUCCAACGGGAGGCAGCGGUGGGAAAUAUUGCACAAUGGGGCGAAGCGUGAUGCAGCGACGCCGCGAGCGGGAUGAAGGCCUUCGGGUUGUAAACCGCAUUCGCCUGUGACGAAGCGUGAGUGACGGUAAUGGGUAAAGAAGCACCGGCUAACUACGUG